GAAUAAGCAUCUGCUAACUUCGUGCCAGCAGCCGCGGUAAGACGAAGAUCAAGCGUUAUCCGGAUUCAUUGGGUUUAAAGGGUGCGUAGGCGGACUUGUAAGUCAGUGGUGAAAUCUCUUUGCUUAACAAAGAAACUGCCAUUGAUACUGCUAGUCUAGAGUAUAGAUGACGUUGGCGGAAUAUGACACGUAGUGGUGAAAUACUUAGAUAUGUCAUAGAACACCGAUUGCGAAGGCAGCUAACGAAACUGUAACUGACGCUGAGGCAACGGAAAGUGCGGGGAUCAAACAGGAUUAGAUACCCUGGUAGUCCGCACCGUAAACGAUGAUUACUCGUUGUUGGCGAUAUGACAGUCAGCGACCAAGCGAAAGCGAUAAGUAAUCCACCUGGGGAGUACGCCGGCAACGGUGAAACUCAAAGGAAUUGACGGGGGCCCGCACAAGCGGAGGAGCAUGUGGUUUAAUUCGAUGAUACGCGAGGAACCUUACCUGGGCUUGAAAGUUAGCGACCGGUCCUGAAAGGGAUCUUCCAGCAAUGGCGCGAAACUAGGUGCUGCAUGGUCUGUCGUCAGCUCGUGCANGUGA
rnacentral:rRNA from 1 species